AGUGAACGCUGGCGGUAGGCCUAACACAUGCAAGUCGAACGGCAGCACAGUAAGAUCUUGCUCUUACGGGUGGCGAGUGGCGGGCGGGUGAGGAGUACAUCAGAAUCUACUUUUUCUGGGGGGAUAACGGGGGGCAAGUUACGCUAAUACCGCAUAUGACCUACGGGAUAGAUCAGGGGAGCUUCGGAGCUUUCGUGAUUGAAUUAGCCGAUGUCGGAUUAGCUAGUUGGGUGGGUAAAGGCCCACCAAGGCGACGAUACGUAGCUGGCCUGAGAGGAUGAUCAGCCACACUGGAACUGAGACACGGUCCAGACUCCUACGGGAGGCAGCAGUGGGGAAUAUUGCACAAUGGGCGAAAGCCUGAUGCAGCCAUACCGCGUGGGUGAUGAAGGUCUUCGGGUUGUAAAGCCCUUUUGUUAGGAAAGAACAGCAGCAGGUUAAUCCACCGAUGUUCUGACGGUACCCAAACAAUAAGCAACGGCUAACUUCGUG
rnacentral:rRNA from 1 species